rfam:Callithrix jacchus chromosome X, whole genome shotgun sequence
GUGCUCACUUCGGCAGCACAUAUACUAAAAUUGGAAUGAUACAGAGAAGAUUAGCAUGGCCCCUACAGAAGGAUGACACACAAAUUUGUGAAGCAUUCCAUAUUAAA